UGUGAACCUACCCAGUUAUGCCUCGGCGUAAGCUCGGUUGGGGGCACCC
rnacentral:rRNA from 1 species